UACAGAGGGGGCAAGCGUUGUUCGGAAUUACUGGGCGUAAAGGGCGCGUAGGCGGCCUUCUAAGUCGAACGUGAAAUCCCCGGGCUCAACCCGGGAACUGCGUCCGAUACUGGAAGGCUUGAAUCCGGGAGAGGGAUGUGGAAUUCCAGGUGUAGCGGUGAAAUGCGUAGAUAUCUGGAGGAACACCGGUGGCGAAGGCGACAUCCUGGACCGGUAUUGACGCUGAGGCGCGAAAGCCAGGGAGCAAAGCGGG
rnacentral:rRNA from 1 species